UGAGGGGGAGAGGUAGUGAAUCGGCUACGUCAGUGGCACCAACAAUAAUUUAGUGGCUGCAUUUUAUUUAUUUAUUUAUUUAUUGAAAUAUUGGCAAUUUACAUAAGUACAUUUAAAUUAAUAAUGUCAACAGCAAAAUCACAGAGGUGGCGAGAGUUUUUGGGCGCCCCGGAGUCACAGGCCACAGCCAGUCUAUGGCCACAGCACGUGUGGUGACUGCGUAUGGAAUGACAGCUCCUGAGACGACAAUUUUUCCAACACAAGUUUGGUUUUUGAUGGGUGAAGUACAACAUAUUAAAUGUCAUUUUCGAUGUUCUGGUAGACUUACAAAGAACGAGGAACAACGACGCAACGUUUUCAGUCACCUAUACACAAGUGAUGUAUAUGUGCUGCCGAAGCAAGCACGAACUGAGAGCUAGGAGAAAAGCUAUAUAUCCCAUGGAAUAAUGGGUAUGUAUCUUAGAGGUGGUAAGUUGA